rnacentral:rRNA from 1 species
UACGAAGGGGGCUAGCGUUGUUCGGAAUUACUGGGCGUAAAGCGCGCGCAGGCGGCCUUUCAAGUCAGGGGUGAAAGCCCGGAGCUCAACUCCGGAAUUGCCUUUGAAACUGUCAGGCUCGAGUACGGGAGAGGUGAGUGGAAUUCCCAGUGUAGAGGUGAAAUGCGUAGAGAUCGGGAGGAACACCAGUGGCGAAGGCGGCCUUCUGGACCAAUACUGACGCUCAUGCACGAAAGCGUGGGGAGCAAACAGG